GUGAUAUUUAAAUUAUCCCUAAACAAUGCAGUUGGUAUCAAUGUUGUUUUUCCACCCAUAGCCUAACGCCAUCCUUUGAAGACAGCAGGGUGCAAAAACUACAGUGAACUUUUGCAUCCAUCUCUGGGCACUCCUGGUGGUGAAGUGAACAUCUACACUCUGAUCGACGGUGGAAAGGAAGAUACUGUUCUAAUAAUGGCGGACAGAAGACUUGCAAGCAGUUACCAGUUGGAAAGCAGAACGGUUUCUUCUCAAUCAAAGACAACAGUGCAACACACAGUGGUUAGGACCAGCCAUGUGAGAGUGUCUCAUCAGCAGAGUUCUCUGGCGGUUUCGAGCAGCAGCAGCAGCAGCAGCAGCACAUCACCAACCAUAAUAUUCCCAAACUCAGAAACAAUCAGCAGUUUCCAAAGAAAGCCAAACAUUGAGGAAGAGUUUAAAAAGAUGAAAGAGGAGUUGUUUGAAUUCUCAAGCAAGCCGGGGUUUUAAACAAUCUGCUUCCACAAACACCAAUUGAUCCAGAGUUUCUUCAACAUCUCACAGAAGAAACUCUGCUGUUGAACAACAAUCUGAAGAGGAUUCUCAGGGUUGUCCCCAAUGUUUUUAAUUUAAUGAAUAACCCUUUGUAAAAUAAUCUCCGGUGGUUCUGAAAAAAUCUCCAUAAUAGCUAAGCCAUUAUGGGGACAAGCUAAUUCUUUAUUAGCUUGUUGAGCUUCUUCAACAACAGACAUCACACACUACACAACAGAGAAGCUCUGCAGCAUCUUUCUGCAAACACCGGAGGACCUAACCUUCCUCAAGAAACACAGUAUGUCUCUUUCCUAUAGGCAUUAUCCCUCAUAGGAUCUUUUUCAUACUUUUUUGUGUCAGGGAUUGUUUAAUGGUAAGAAUAUCUCAUCAGGUAUGAUAAAAUUAUGUUUGUUUCACAUGACAUGACAGUUUUAUGUAGGAAACAGAACCAUAGCCACUCCAUGGCUCUAAAUAUCUCUGAUCAUGUUAUUUGUUUAUAUUUCUUUUAACAAGAUGUAACUCAAAUACUUACUUGCCAUAUGAUGCACAACAUAUUUAUGUUUAUCAGCAUCUGUAAUUUAAAUGCACAUAGGACCUCAUCUUCAAAGAUUCCAAAUACGUUGAGCUAAAUUGCUCAGGCAGAAAAUAAUUGCGGGUGCAAUAAGAGGGCGUGUUGUGGGUGAUCUUCAAAGAUUGCGUCCGCAAAACCGAUUUGGUCUCAUUUAAAUGAGUAAGAUACUUGUAGUACUGGCAGUCUGGGAGCUGCGCUAAACAAAAUAUUACAAAAAGUUCUAAAUGUUUCUCUUUCUGAAUGCGCUCUGUAGAAAAACAUUUGAUUUUGCUACGUUGGGUGAACCGUUUAAGUUUGGGUAACUUUUCGGGGAGUUUAACUGUAAACUAAUAAUUCAUCGUUAAUUACUUUGUUAAUAACAAUUGUAAUGUAAACGUGAUGAUCUCUGUAUUUUAAAAUAUUUUAAGAUGACAUUUGUUGGGAAUCAGUGCUAAAUUAACAAACUGAAUUUAGGUGAGGUUGUUGUCAAAUUGAUUGUAUCUUAAUAAUGCUGUUUUUGCUGUAUGGGUGUAGCAAUGUUUUGAAAAUCUUGUCCCUUUACAUAAUUCCUUUUUGAGAAGUAUAUUUAAAUUCAAACACUCUUUACGGUAUACACCAUUGCUAGAUAUGGUCUUGUG